rnacentral:rRNA from 1 species
UACGUAGGGUCCGAGCGUUGUCCGGAAUUAUUGGGCGUAAAGGGCUCGUAGGCGGUUCGUCACGUCGGGAGUGAAAACUCGGAGCUUAACUCCGAGCCUGCUUCCGAUACGGGCAGACUAGAGGUAGGCAGGGGAGAGCGGAACUCCUGGUGUAGUGGUGAAAUUCGUAGAUAUCGGGAGGAACACCAGUGGCGAAGGCGGGUCUCUGGGCCGUAACUGACGCUGAGGAGCGAAAGCGUGGGGAGCGAACAGG